rnacentral:rRNA from 1 species
UACGUAGGGGGCAAGCGUUGUCCGGAAUCAUUGGGCGUAAAGCGCGUGUAGGCGGCUCGAUAAGUCUGCUGUGAAAGUCCAGGGCUCAACCCUGGGAUGCCGGUGGAUACUGUCGAGCUCGAGUCCGGAAGAGGAGUGUGGAAUUCCUGGUGUAGCGGUGAAAUGCGCAGAUAUCAGGAGGAACACCAAUGGCGAAGGCAGCACUCUGGGACGUGACUGACGCUGAGACGCGAAAGCGUGGGUAGCGAACAGG